AACAAGAGGGGCCCCUUCUUCUGUACUGUCAAAAUCUCUACAGAUACACACAUACAUACGCUGGCCUCUCUCUCUCUCUCUCUCUCUCGAGAUUCAUCAUCAAUCUGUUCAUGAUUUCAGGGCCUCUGCUCGGUCCCAGACAGGCGGAGAUUUGAUUCCACCACCCGGCUUUCUCCCCGUACUAUUUCCUGGAAAAUCGAAUUCUGUUUCUUCCCCGAACAUGCCUCGCAUGAAGCUCAAGGGACAAUUUUAUAUGGGUCAGUGUUCAGACCCUUUGGAUCCUUUUCUUUGUUUCUUGUGUAAGACUUUUCUUCUGAGUGGGCUUCUCUAAGUAUUGAGACUCAACAUUCUCAGACAGGCCUUUGGCUUAGAUUUUGUGGAACACAGAGGAAAUAAAAGGUUCCCUUUUGUGGUAAAAGGAGCCGCCUGCUCUUUAUAAUUGUUGUGAACUUAAAUGAACAAGAGUGUGAUUGAAAUGGAAGGUGACAUAUAUCCAGGCACUGGCAAUGGUAUCCAAGUAGAUGGCAAGGUGUUGCAGACCUUUCAGAAGGGCUUUGUGCAGGUUCAGAACAUUCUGGACCAGAACAGGCUGCUGAUCAAUGAGAUUAACCAGAACCAUGAGUCCAAGAUCCCUGACAAUCUAUCCCGAAAUGUUGGUCUAAUUAGAGAGCUUAACAACAACAUUAGAAGGGUGGUUGAUCUUUACGCAGGCCUAUCCAGCUCUGUUGCCAAAUCCAGGGAAGAUUCCUCUGAAGGGGACUCAGGCAAGAGUGGUCAAAAGAGAAUAAGGUCUGGUUAAUCAAUCAAGUCAAGGCUGCCUUCGAUGACCGUAUCACACUUUGAACUGGUGUCAUCCAUCGCCUAAAUGAGUCGUCCAUCCCCUGAGUUAGGUCAUCCAUCGCUCGACUCAGUCGCAUGAGAUUCAUCCCUCUCUCGGGUGAGGUCAUUCAUCAACAGUUUCUCAUUUAUACAUUUAUUGUUGUAGCCGUACAACAACAAUUUAAAUUACAU